AACGAACGCUGGCGGCAGGCCUAACACAUGCACGUCGAAGGAGAAGCCGGGCUUCGGCCCGGUGGAAACUGGCGCACGGGUGAGUAACGCGUGGGUAUCUACCUCGGGGUGGGGAAUAACCGCUGGAAACGGCGGCUAAUACCGCAUACGCCUUCAGAGGGAAAGCUCCGGCGCCCUGAGAGGAGCCCGCGUUGGAUUAGCUUGUUGGUGGGGUAAUUGCCUACCAAGGCUACGAUCUAUAGCUGGUCUGAGAGGAUGAUCAGCCACACUGGGACUGAGACACGGCCCAGACUCCUACGGGAGGCAGCAGUGGGGAAUAUUGGACAAUGGGCGCAAGCCUGAUCCAGCCAUGCCGCGUGAGUGAAGAAGGCCUUAGGGUUGUAAAGCUCUUUCACCUGCGAAGAUGAUGACGGUAGCAGGAGAAGAAGCCCCGGCUAACUCCGUG
rnacentral:rRNA from 1 species